rnacentral:rRNA from 1 species
GUCUAGUAUAAGCAUUAUACCGCGAAACUGCGAAUGGCUCAUUAUAUAAGUUAUCGUUUAUUUGAUAGUACCUUACUACUUGGAUAACCGUGGUAAUUCUAGAGCUAAUACAUGCUAAAAAUCCCGACUUCGGAAGGGAUGUAUUUAUUAGAUUAAAAACCAAUGCCCUUCGGGGCUCACUGGUGAUUCAUGAUAACUCCUCGAAUCGCAUGGCCUUGUGCCGGCGAUGGUUCAUUCAAAUUUCUUCCCUAUCAACUUUCGAUGUUUGGGUAUUGGCCAAACAUGGUUGCAACGGGUAACGGAGGGUUAGGGCUCGACCCCGGAGAAGGAGCCUGAGAAACGGCUACUACAUCCAAGGAAGGCAGCAGGCGCGCAAAUUACCCAAUCCCGACACGGGGAGGUAGUGACAAUAAAUACUGAUACAGGGCUCUUUUGGGUCUUGUAAUUGGAAUGAGUACAAUUUAAAUCCCUUAACGAGGAACAAUUGGAGGGCAAGUCUGGUGCCAGCAGCCGCGGUAAUUCCAGCUCCAAUAGCGUAUAUUAAAGUUGUUGUGGUUAAAAAGCUCGUAGUUGAACCUUGGGCCUGGCUGGCCGGUCCGCCUCACCGCGUGUACUGGUCCGGCCGGGCCUUUCCCUCUGUGGAACCCCAUGCCCUUCACUGGGUGUGGCGGGGAAACAGGACUUUUACUGUGAAAAAAUUACAGUGCUCCAGGCAGGCCUAUGCUCGAAUACAUUAGCAUGGAAUAAUAGAAUAGGACGUGUGGUUCUAUUUUGUUGGUUUCUAGGACCGCCGUAAUGAUUAAUAGGGACAGUCGGGGGCAUCAGUAUUCAAUUGUCAGAGGUGAAAUUCUUGGAUUUAUUGAAGACUAACUACUGCGAAAGCAUUUGCCAAGGAUGUUUUCAUUAAUCAGGAACGAAAGUUAGGGGAUCGAAGACGAUCAGAUACCGUCGUAGUCUUAACCAUAAACUAUGCCGACUAGGGAUCGGACGGUGUUAUUUUUUGACCCGUUCGGCACCUUACGAGAAAUCAAAGUGCUUGGGCUCCAGGGGGGAGUAUGGUCGCAAGGCUGAAACUUAAGGAAUUG